rnacentral:misc_RNA from 1 species
UCCGGUUUGGCACCGGCAGUCUUCCUAGAGUCCCCGCCAUUACGCGCUGGCAACUAAGAAUAAGGGUUGCGCUCGUUGCGGGACUUAACCCAACACUUCACGGCACGAGCUGACGACAGCCAUGCAGCACCUCUACCACUGUCUCUUGCGAGAAGGCGAUGUUUCCACCGCUGGUCAGUGGCAGUUCAAGCCCAGGUAAGGUUCUUCGCGUUGCGUCGAAUUAAACCACAUGCUCCGCUGCUUGUGCGGGCCCCCGUCAAUUCCUUUGAGUUUUAGCCAUGCGGCCGUACUCCCCAGGCGGGGUGCUUAAUGCGUUAGCUUCGGCACGGACGGAGCCGACACCGCCCACACCUAGCACCCAUCGUUUACGGCGUGGACUAC